ensembl:lncRNA uncharacterized LOC109091606
GCUAUGUCGAUCAGUCAUUCAUUUAGUAAUGUGUUUGUUGCAGUAAAGAAGUGAUGAGUGAGAACAGAGUUGGACUGUGGACAUAACCCUGAGGAGCACCGCACCAUGUUGCUGUGUUUCACCACUUGUGGUUUGCUGUGAUGAUGAAAUCCAGUGUCUAAUUGCCAGACAAGCUGCACAAACUCAGUGUUUCACAUUUCCAUAGUUUAUUUGAGAAAAUAACAGCUGAAUUUCAGAACUAAAGUUUAAACCAGAGAUGCCUCAGUGGUUCCAAACCAGUGAAGUCUAACACGUGGUGGUCGUCCAAGCUGCAGGAGGUCCAGCCCAGUCCAGGUGGGCGAGAAGGGGGUCUGGAAUGGAACAAAAGCAGAAUCAUGUCCCAUAAGAUCCACUCUCUAAUCAUCACACAUUCACAUCUCUGCAUGCUGUCGGGCAACUGGAUGGGGAGAAGUUGCCUUGUGGGUAUUUGGGCCUCCUGCUUUGGAUUCCCUCAGUGGUGGUCUUGGACAGAAGCACAACAGAUGCCCAAACAAGUCAGAGCAGAGCAACUUGGGAAGCAUCCCGGCAAUGUUGCCCCUCUUUCAUCCGGAAUUCCACACAGUCAUAGUCUGGAAUAUUUCAAUUCCCGUUCCGAUGCCACAUGGAAGAUACAUUAGCUGGCUGACCUCUGACCCCUUGUGUGUUUCUUUGGCUCUGUGUGUGUGUGUGAGGCACAAAAAUAAACAUU